CAAGUACUCCCUCCGUCCGAAAAUACUUGUCAUCAAAAUGGAUAAAAAAGAUGUAUCUAGAACUAAUAUACAUCUAGAUACAUCCCCUUUUAUUCAUUUUGAUGACAAGUAUUUCUGGACGGAGGGAGUACUAC
rnacentral:pre_miRNA from 1 species